UCCCUGGUGGGUCCAGUGGUUAAGACUCUGAACUCCCAAGGCAGGGGGCCCAGGUUCGAUCCCUAGUCAGGGAA
rnacentral:tRNA from 1 species